AUCCAUAGCUGGUCUGAGAGGAUGAUCAGCCACACCGGGACUGAGACACGGCCCGGACUCCUACGGGAGGCAGCAGUGGGGAAUCUUGCACAAUGGGCGAAAGCCUGAUGCAGCCAUGCCGCGUGUGUGAUGAAGGCCUUAGGGUUGUAAAGCACUUUCAGACGUGAGGAAAAGUUAAGUCUUAAUACGGCUUAGCCCUGACGUUAACGUCAGAAGAAGCACCGGCUAACUCCGUGCCAGCAGCC
rnacentral:rRNA from 1 species